CGGGGCCCUCGACGGUCGCCCCGUUCUUCCAGGCUUCGGGCCCAAGCACCGU
rnacentral:ncRNA from 1 species